UGAGUUUGGUGAUGGCUCUGAGUGAACGCUAACCAAAUGCUUGACACAUGCUAAUCGAACGACCAGUAAAUUUAAGAAACCUAAGUAAAUUUAAGAAACCUAAGUAAAUUUAGGAAACCUAAGUAAAUUUAGGAAGCCUCACCUUGUGAACAAGUAAAACAAGUAAAAUAUACUGGUAGUGGUGUACAGGUGAGUAAAAGAUAAUGAAACCGCCCUGGAGUAAGGAGAAAGAUCCCUUAUAAAAUUAUGUUAUAAAUAAUAAAAGAAAGCGAAAGUUUUCGCUCUUGGAAGUUAAUAUCUCGGGUAGUAAUAGUUAAGGUAAUAGUUAACUAACAUAAUACGCGUAGUCGUGACCGAAAGGUUUAUCGACCACAGUGGGACCGAAUAAAUCCCAUGACGACUGUCACAGCAGUGAGGAAUAUUGGUCAAUAGCCUAACGGCUGAACCAGCAACUUGGUUGAAUGUAUAGCGAAAGCUAGCUGCAUUAGCUUAGCGAAAGCUAAAUUGGUGCAGAAUUGUCUCGUCAAAUAAAGUUCCGGGUGGGUUAUGACGAUGACAUUUCCUAUCCGUGUGUCUUGACCAAAUUACGUGCCAGCAGUCGCGGUAAUACGUAGAAGACUAGUGUUAUUCAUCUUUAAUAGGUUUAAAGGGUACCUAGACGGUAAAUCAAGUCCAAGAAGGAUACUAAUUUUACUAGAGUUAAAUGUAAUGGGGCAUUAAAGUACUGAUGAGUGUAGAGAUGAAAUUCUGUGAUACAAUAUACGGCACUGGCAAAGGCGAAGGCAUCUCCAUAUGUAAUAACUGACGUUGAGGGACGAAGGCUAUGUAUAGCAAAAAGGAUUAGGUACCCAAGUAGUCAUAGCAGAAAAUCAUGAAUGCCAUAGGAUGGAAAAUCUUUAGAGAAACUUUUUUUCUAUAAAUGAUAGUGUAAGCAUUCCACCUCAAGAGUAAUUUGGCAACAUUGGAACUGAAAUCAUUAGACCGUUUCUGAAACAAGUAGUGAAGUAUGUUGUUUAAUUUGAUGAUCCGCAAAAAACCUUACCACAAUUUGAAUAGAAAUUAUUUUUAUACAAGCGCUGCACGGUUGUCUUCGGUUAAUGUCGUGAGAUAUUGGUUAGCUCCAUUAAAUUAACGUAAACCCUUACUUUAUUUUUAUAUAGAGUAGUUCCCCACUAGAUUGGAUUAGAUAACAGGGACUAAGACAAGUCAUCAUGGCCUAAAUAUUGUGGGCUAUAGACGUGCCACAUAUGCUUUACAAAGGGAUGCAAAAUUGCGAAAUUGAGCUAAUCCCCUAAAAAUAGAUAUAAACUUAAUGGAUUGUAGUCUGUAAUUCGACUGCAUGAAAAAGGAAUUACUAGUAAUCGUGAAUAAUCACGUCACGGUGAAACACCAUCUCAGAUAGGUACUAACCACUCGUCAGGCGCUGAAAGAAGUAUGUGCAAUAAGUUUGGCUACGGUUUUCUUAUAAUCUAGGCAAUAGGGUCUAUAAAUGGAAAUUAUUAGACUUCGUAUGCGUGACUUUGAUUAGUGUUAAGUCGAAAUACGGUUCGUGUAGUGGAAAUUGCACGGGAUUAAUU
rnacentral:rRNA from 1 species